AACGAACGCUGGCGGCGUGCCUAAUACAUGCAAGUCGAACGAGAAAGUGGCUUCGGCCAUGAGUACAGUGGCAGACGGGUGAGUAGUACCUAGGUAACCUACCUCCGAGAUGGGGAUAACCUUCCGAAAGGAGGGCUAAUACCGAAUGAGACCACGGAUGCUACGGCAUCUGAGGUUAAAGGUGACCUCUAUUUAUAAGUUAUCGCUUGGAGAUGGGCUUAUGCACCAUCAGCUUGUUGGUAGGGUAAUGGCCUACCAAGGCUUUGACGGUUAGCUGAUCUGAGAGGUUGAUCAGCCACACUGGAACUGGGACACGGUCCAGACUCCUACGGGAGGCAGCAGUAGGGAAUAUUGCGCAAUGGAGGGAACUCUGACGCAGCGACGCCGCGUGGGUGAUGAAGGCUUUCGGGUCGUAAAGCCCUGUCGGCAGGGAAGAAAAACGAUGUGGCUAACAUCCACAUCGCUUGACGGUACCUGCAGAGGAAGCACCGGCUAACUACGUGCCAGCAGCCGCGGUAA
rnacentral:rRNA from 1 species